rnacentral:rRNA from 1 species
UACGUAGGGGGCAAGCGUUGUCCGGAUUUAUUGGGCGUAAAGCGCUCGCAGGUGGUCCGUCGCGUCGUGCGUGAAAGCCCCCGGCUCAACUGGGGAGGGUCACGCGAUACUGAUCGACUCGAAGGCAGGAGAGGGUAGUGGAAUUCCCGGUGUAGUGGUGAAAUGCGUAGAUAUCGGGAGGAACACCAGUGGCGAAGGCGACUACCUGGCCUGUUUCUUGACGCUGAGGCGCGAAAGCUAGGGGAGCAAACGGG